rnacentral:lncRNA from 1 species
AUAGUGGGUGUGCUGAAGACCACUGGCCUUGUGGGAUUGGCUAUAUGCAAGAGUCCAUAAGAGAGGCUGAGAAUAUUGUACACAAAGAUUCUUGAUGUUCUUGAGCAAAUCCCUGAAAAUGCAGCACAUAGAAAGUAUACAGAACAGAUUACAAAUGAGAAGCUGGCUAUAGUUAAAGUAGAACCAGAUGUUAAAAAAUUAGGAGACCAACAUUAAGGUGAUCAAGUAGAAGAGGUGAUUCCUCAGGUUGAAGAUUAACUAAGUCUGGUGAGGAAAAUGACGCAGUGAAAACCAUGGGAGCCUUAGGGGAAGAGCCUCCUGCCAAUCAGUGGAAAUGGCCAAUA